CCCCAGACUCCUACGGGAGGCAGCAGUGGGGAAUAUUGCACAAUGGGGGAAACCCUGAUGCAGCGACGCCGCGUGAGUGAAGAAGUAUUUCGGUAUGUAAAGCUCUAUCAGCAGGGAAGAAAAUGACGGUACCUGACUAAGAAGCCCCGGCUAACUACGUGCCAGCAGCCGCGGUAAUACGUAGGGGGCAAGCGUUAUCCGGAUUUACUGGGUGUAAAGGGAGCGUAGACGGCAUGGCAAGUCAGAUGUGAAAGCCCGGGGCUCAACCCCGGGACUGCAUUUGAAACUGUCAGGCUGGAGUGCAGGAGAGGUAAGUGGAAUUCCUAGUGUAGCGGUGAAAUGCGUAGAUAUUAGGAGGAACACCAGUGGCGAAGGCGGCUUACUGGCUCAUAACUGACGCUGAGGCGCGAAAGCGUGGGGAGCAAACAGGAUUAGAUACCCCGGUACCU
rnacentral:rRNA from 1 species